AUCCAAUUUUAGAAGAAAUCUUAUCUUAUUAAGCAGACUAGAUUCGAGAGGCUACAGGAUGGUAGCUAGUGGAGGAAUCCUAAAGGUGUUGCACGGUGAUAGGAUUAUUCUGGAGGAAAAGAAAAGGAUGAGAGGAUAUUACUAUCUAACCGAGAGUCCAGUAUGAGGUGGAGCUUUAGGAGCCAGGAGGAGCCUAGAGUGAGGUGGAGCUCCAGGUAGAGGUGGAUCGGGCACU
rnacentral:lncRNA from 1 species